rnacentral:lncRNA from 1 species
AGAAAAACACACAGAUGGAAGAAAGAAAAAACAAGCAAACAGAAAAUAGUGAAGCCAAAUGCUCCAGUUAUUGUUCAAACUUCUCCAGCUUGAGCUUUAAGAUGGAUUUGUCAAAUUUGGAGGGAACUGCAUUCACUUUUGGAGGCAGCAGACCUGUCUUUAUCCACAGUUCUCACGGGGAAUGGAUGGGAGCAGUCCCAACCCAUGCUGUCUUCUGAUGGGCUGUGACACCAACUGGAGAAUGAGAUGAAAUGGCUUGCUCAAAAUUACCUUGGAGAUGAGGGGCAGAGUCUUUGGAGGAAAUGUGAUCCAGGAAUUUCCAGCCUGUUGGAUCAGACAUCACACAGCACUUAGCCAUCCUUUCAGUGCACACUGUGUGGCUUAGCCACACGGACAAGAUACUGAGGUUUAUAGACAUCUGCAGUGGAUAUUCUGUAUGUUUCAUAAGGACAGGAACCCUCUUGGCUUCUAAUUUGGAGGAGAGGAGCCUAAAUUCUGAUCCUGUUCUACUACUACCCACAAAGCGUAAAGCUGAAAACCUGUUUUCCAAGCUGUUACAGGUUGCUUGUGAAUGCCGUUUUAUGAGGGAGCACAUAUCAUUUCCUAUAACAAAAUAACGGACAAAAAAAAAAAAAAAAAGCUUUGCAUGGCUGGCUGUUUAUUAGAGGCAAGAUUAGGCUGACAUUUUGAAAAUAAUAAUAAUAAUAAUAAAAAUGAUCAAACUACAAUAAAAACA